UACGAAGGGGGCUAGCGUUGCUCGGAAUUACUGGGCGUAAAGCGCACGUAGGCGGCUUUCUAAGUCGGGGGUGAAAUCCUGGAGCUCAACUCCAGAACUGCCUUCGAUACUGGAAAGCUCGAGUCCGGGAGAGGUGAGUGGAACUGCGAGUGUAGAGGUGAAAUUCGUAGAUAUUGGGAAGAACACCAGUGGCGAAGGCGGCUAACUGGUCCAGAUCUGACGCUGAGGUGCGAAAGCGUGGGGAGCAAACAGG
rnacentral:rRNA from 1 species